AAAAUGGGAAAUUGGGCAAAAGCCGAUUCAGGCCUGGCCCGGUGGUGAAAGAAGUCUUUCGGAUGUAAAAGCACUUUAGGUGGGAGGGAGGGGAGUUAGUUUAUACCUUUCUUUUUUGACGUUACCGACAGAAUAAGCACCGGCUAACUUUCGGCCAGCAGCCGCGGUAAUACGAAGGGUGCAAGCGUUAAGCGGAAUUACUGGGCGUAAAGCGCGCGUAGGUGGUUUGUUAAGUUGGAAGUGAAAGCCCCGGGCUCAACCUGGGAACUGCUUUCAUAACUGCUGAGCUGGAGUACGGUAGAGGGUAGUGGAAUUUCCUGUGUAGCGGUGAAAUGCGUAGAUAUAGGAAGGAACACCAGUGGCGAAGGCGACUACCUGGACUGAUACUGACACUGAGGUGCGAAAGCGUGGGGAGCAAAC
rnacentral:rRNA from 1 species